GGACCUGGGCCAUCUUCUACUGCUUUCCCAGGACGUAGCAGAGAGCCGGAUCGGAAGAGGAACAGCCGGGACUAGAACCGGCGCCCAUGUGGGAUGCCGGAGCUUCAGGCCAGGGCUUUCACCUGCUGCACCACAGCGCCAGCCCCUGUUGGUUUUUUUAAAGCAUCGUUUAUCUGGAGCAUGGAACUCUGGCGCCUGGCACCAGCCCCAGCCCAGCCUGCCCUGUCCACCAGCCUGGCCCCAGCUUCCCCUGGUGGAGCCCGGGAGCCUCUGUGGUCACCCGGGAAGCCCAGCAGGGCUGCUGGCCUCGUCCCAGCCCCGGCAGGUGCUCAGGCGCGGGCCGGGAGCGCUCACCACUGCCUGGCCCGCGCCUCCCCAGGUGAGCCCCGCCCCUGGCGUGUGCACUGCUCUCUGGGCGUUCCAGGCAGCGUCUGCCUUGUUUGGUUUGGAACUCAGCACCCGAGAAAGUCACGCCCCAGAGAAACCAACCCCUCGGGGGUGACCGCCUGGCACACCUGGCCCCGGCGCCACUCCUGCACCUGCAGCUGGGCCGGGUGCUGGGACGUCCCCUUGGCGUUUUAUUAUUGCUGUCCUGUGUGAGACGUCGCACUGCUGCCUUCACUUCUGGUCACUGAGAGCCACGGGGGCACCUGGCGGCCCCGGCGGGCCCCGUCUCCGGCAGGGCUGCCCCUGGGUGAGCACCUCCCCGGUGGGGCUGGGCGGGCCGCUCCUGCAGGCUGGGCCUCUGUUUCCCGGCUGCAGGUUGUCCUGGCCCCCUGCUGCCCUGUGCGGGGCUGGGGGGGGCAGGGGGGGAGCCUGGGGGCUGCCUGCGCCCUUUGAGGGGAAGGAACCCAGUGACAGCGCCAGUCCAGACUGGACAAGAGAACACACAUCGGAGAUCGAGGACCACAGCGUUCGGAUUCGGGGGCAGAGACCGCCCCGCCCCAGCCCCUGGCCCUGCGCGGAAACAAAGCCCCUUGCACCUGGAGCCCCGGGUGCCGGCAUCCAGGCCGCCCUGAAGAGUCUGGGGGAGAACACGGCUCGGCCACCAGCUCGGCGCCAGCCCAGCGGCCCCGGCUCCCACACUGGGGCUGCUGAGGCCCCCCGGAGGCUGACUCCCUGUGUCCAGGGCCUUUUCCUGGAGAUCACUCAGGCCCCGAUAUGAUCGCCGUGGGACAGGCGGAAAUUGGAACGUCCCCGGUGCUUGAUCGAGCCGGGCUGCCAGCCGCGGCCGCAGGGACAUUAGAAGCCGGCGUAAUGGCCCUCAUUCCGCUCCCUCACAGCCCCUUGACCUUGGGCAGCUCGGGAGCCCGGUGCUGUUUUAAUGAAAAAUCAGGAGUUAGGGAAAUGGGCAGGGCUGGUGGGGAGGGCCUGGGGACCCCCGGAGAGACAAAGAAAUCCCCACCUCCGGCGUGCUCCAACCAACCGGUGAUGAGGGAGUGGAGGGACCCCCACCCCCACCCCCACCAGGGGACCCUCCGGGACCAGGGACCCUCCUCAAACCUCCCACCCAACCCCCACCCAGCCCCCAAACCCACUUGACAGAGCCCUCGGGAGACCGGGGCUGACCACAGCUCUCUGCAGGGAACCAGGCCUGGCUCCCUCCUGAGGGCCCGGCAGGGAGGCCGGACUGGGGUCUGCAGCUCACCGCGCACAUGGCGGUGGGUGCUGGGGGCACAUGGGGAGUCGGGGCAGGG